GAGAACUACAGUAGCUUCUCUGUCCAGAGUGUUGCGCCGACGAUGCAAGUGCUGGAUGGGCCGGUGGUGGCGCCAGCGGAGGUGAUGAAGACUGGGCCGAAGAAGGAUAUGAUGGAGGAAGCAUCAACAGCUUAUUGGACGACGCUGGCCCCUAAUGUUGAGGAUUACAGCACCUCUGUCGCCAGAGUCAUUGCCAUGGGGUCCGGGCAGCUCAUUAAGGGGAUUCUGUGGUGCGGGGAUGUCACGGUGGAUAGGCUCAAGUGGGGCGAGGAUCUGCUGAAGCGGAGAGUGUCUUCCAAUUCUGGGAAGACAGAGAUCAGCAAAGACGCCCUGAAGCGAAUGAAGAGGGUUAAGAGGGUUACA
rnacentral:misc_RNA from 1 species